AAAUGUUACGGUUAUAUGUAAAGGCACACUUCGUGUGAGCUUUCCCGAGUAUCCGAUGUAAUUCUAGAUGGUUCAACGGAUUAUCGGAAGCUCGAUCAGUUUGGAAGCUUGCCGGAGACCUAUCACACUAUCCAUAAGUCUUUUCAGUAGUUUUUGAGCAUCUUGGCCAAGGUUUAUAAUGGCAUAUUUAGGGUGAUUUGUAAUGAUAUUUUGAUGAAUGUGUUGUUGGUGUUUUGGCAUGUAUAAACUUUUGGGAGUUAUAUUGGUUUGGCACCAUUUGAUGUUUUGACAAAUUGUCUCACUUUAGUUAUCUUAUUAUGCA